rnacentral:rRNA from 1 species
AGUCGAAUGUAGCAAUACAUGGCGAACUGCUCAGUAACACGUGGACAACCUGCCUUUAGGUUGGGUAUAAACCCGGGAAACUGGGUAUAAUACCCGAUAGGUCUCGAUUGCUGGAAUGCAUCGAGAUUUAAAGCUCCGGCGCCUAAGGAUGGGUCUGCGGCCUAUCAGGUAGUAGUGGGUGUAGCGUACCUACUAGCCUACGACGGGUACGGGUUGUGAGAGCAAGAGCCCGGAGAUGGAUUCUGAGACACGAAUCCAGGCCCUACGGGGUGCAGCAGGCGCGAAAACUUUACAAUGCUGGCAACAGCGAUAAGGGAACCUCGAGUGCCAGGUUACAAAUCUGGCUGUCGAGAUGCCUAAAAAGCAUUUCAUAGCAAGGGCCGGGCAAGACCGGUGCCAGCCGCCGCGGUAACACCGGCGGCUCGAGUGGUAACCGUUAUUAUUGGGUCUAAAGGGUCUGUAGCCGGCCGGAUAAGUCUCUUGAGAAAUCUGGCAGCUU